AGCGAACGCUGGCGGCAGGCUUAACACAUGCAAGUCGAGCGGGCACUUCGGUGUCAGCGGCAGACGGGUGAGUAACACGUGGGAACGUACCCUUUGGUUCGGAAUAACGCUGGGAAACUAGCGCUAAUACCGGAUACGCCCUUUUGGGGAAAGGCUUGCUGCCGAAGGAUCGGCCCGCGUCUGAUUAGCUAGUUGGUGGGGUAAUGGCCUACCAAGGCGACGAUCAGUAGCUGGUCUGAGAGGAUGAUCAGCCACACUGGGACUGAGACACGGCCCAGACUCCUACGGGGGGCAGAAGGGGGGAAUUUUGGACAAGGGGCGCAAGCCUGACCCGGCCAUGCCGGGGGAGGGAGGAAGGCCUUGGGGUUGAAAAGCUCUUUUUUCCGGGACGAUAAUGACGGUACCGGAAGAAGAACCCCCGGCGAACUUCG
rnacentral:rRNA from 1 species